AUACGAAGGGUGCAAGCGUUAAUCGGAAUUACUGGGCGUAAAGCGCGCGUAGGCGGCCAGGUAAGUCGGAUGUGAAAGCCCCGGGCUCAACCUGGGAAUUGCAUUCGAAACUGCCUGGCUAGAGUAUGGUAGAGGGAAGCGGAAUUCCACAUGUAGCGGUGAAAUGCGUAGAUAUGUGGAGGAACACCAGUGGCGAAGGCGGCUUCCUGGACCAAUACUGACGCUGAGGUGCGAAAGCGUGGGGAGCAAACAGGAUUAGAAACCCUUGUAGUCC
rnacentral:rRNA from 1 species